rnacentral:rRNA from 1 species
GGAUUGACACAUUGGUCGUGCCUUAAGGGGUAUGAACUGGUGUAGUCAAUUUCUCACCUUCUGGAGAACCACGAUGCCCUUAAUUGGGUGUCGCGGGGAACCAGGACCUUUACUUUGAAAAGAUUAGAGUGUUUAAAGCAGGCAUUUUGCUUGAAUACAUUAGCAUGGAAUAAUAAAAUAGGACGGCAUGAUUCUAUUUUGUUGGUUUCUAGGAUCACCGUA